AUGUUUGUUUUGGAAGCACAUAUACCCAAAGUGGAGUGCUAUGGAGAUUAGAAUGGCCCCUGUAUAAGAAUGACACAUAAAUUCAUAAGCAUUCCAUAUUUUA
ensembl:snRNA U6 U6 spliceosomal RNA